GCUUGUGUAGUGUAGUGGUUAGCACGUCGGAUUUUGAUUCCGGAGUCCUCAGUUCAAACCUGGGCACGAGCU